CCUACGGGUGGCUGCAGUGGGGACUAUUGGGCAAUGGGCGCAAGCCUGACCCAGCAACGCCGCGUGCAGGACGAAGGCUUUCGGGUUGUAAACUUCUUUUCUAAGGGACGACGGAAGUGACGGUACCUGAGGAAUAAGCCACGGUUAACUACGUGCCAGCAGCCGCGGUAAUACGUAGGUGGCAAGCGUUAUCCGGAUUUAAUGGGUGUAAAGGGCGUGUAGGCGGGAAAGCAAGUCAGAUGUGAAAACCACGGGCUCAACCUGUGGCCUGCAUUUGAAACUGUUUUUCUUUAGUACUGGAGAGUCAGACGGAAUGCCUAGUGUAGCGGUGAAAUGCGUAGAUAUUAGGAGGAACACCAGUGGCGAAGGCGGUCUGCUGGACUGUAACUGACGUUGAGGCUCGAAAGCGUGGGGAGCAAACAGGAUUAGAUACCCCAGUAGUC
rnacentral:rRNA from 1 species